rnacentral:lncRNA from 1 species
GUGCCAUUUAAGAGCUCACUACCAGUAGGGAAGGAUCUCUUUCUGGAGAUCCCUCCUUUGGAGUUUUCUGGCAUGCCCAGGACAAGGGUGAGCACUCUAUUUAUUCUCUUUUGGUAUAGUAGUCUGCUUAGCCAAGCUAUAGGUCUUUUUUUAUUAUUUUAUUUAAUGAUGGUGUUAUUGGACUUACCCUAAUGUCAUUGAGCUGGUUUUAAUGACGAAGAUAAGCGACUGGUCCAAAACUACACAACUGCACUGAUGCUCAGAUAGCAAUGGGGACUUGCUUCAUCCAGUGCAGCACACCAUCGCUUUGCAUCACUCAGCUUGCAGUGGGAGAAGAUGAAGAGUGUGAAUGCCCAUAGUUUGGCCCAUCAGCUCAUGAAAUCCACUAGAGUUCUCCCACAAGGAAAUCAGAAACUGAAGGAUAAACCUGCUGAAUGUGCAAACUGCUCUCUGCUCUCCAGGAGCUGUGCAAAGAGAAGCAUACUUCUGUAUAAUGAUUUAUUAUUCUAAAAAUGGCAGUUACUUCUCACUAAAUGAAGAGCUUUGUUUUGUGAGUUAUGUGUACUACUUCUCAUAUUGUUUUCUGAAGAAUCAGACUCAUGAAAAUGAAUGACUUCUGUUAAUUGAAAGGUCUGCUGUACACUAGACAACUAAACAGAGGAUAGCAGCAGCUCUAAUAACUGUGUGACCAUUGUUUAUUUUUCCAAACUGGACACAAAGAGCUUCCCAUUUAGUUUAAUUUACUUGAAAUAACAGUGGUGCAAUAAAGAAUAGUUGUUUGAGUUAUCA